rnacentral:rRNA from 1 species
UACGAAGGGGGCGAGCGUUGUUCGGAUUUACUGGGCGUAAAGGGCGCGCAGGCGGCUUUGUUUGUCAGGCGUGAAAGCCCCGGGCUUAACCUGGGAACUGCGUUUGAUACGGCAGGGCUAGAGUUCGGGAGAGGAGAGUGGAAUUCCCAGUGUAGAGGUGAAAUUCGUAGAUAUUGGGAAGAACACUGGUGGCGAAGGCGGCUCUCUGGACCGAUACUGACGCUGAGGCGCGAAAGCGUGGGGAGCAAACAGG